CUUCAAAAGGAUAUUAAUAUUGUACGAUGAAUUUUCAGAAGAAAAACAUCCACAAUAAUAAUAAUUAUGAUUGGUAUAAAUGUUUAGCAUAAAGCCAUUAUUAAAUCCUAAAUAUUAAUGGCGGAUCAUUUUAAUUUUAUUAAUGCAUUCAAGUUCUGUUUUUUUUUUCUUUAAGUAACUUAAUUCUUUUGAUUUUUUAUAUUUUCAUUAAUGAAAUAAUAUAUAUAUAUUAAU
rnacentral:lncRNA from 1 species